rnacentral:rRNA from 1 species
CCUACGGGUGGCUGCAGUGAGGAAUAUUGGUCAAUGGGCUUACGCCUGAACCAGCCAAGUCGCGUGAGGGAAGACUGCCCUAUGGGUGUUAAACCUCUUUUGUCAGGGAGCGAUUGGCACUGCAUGUAGCGUUAUAGCGAGUACCUAAAGAAAAAGCAUCGGCUAACUCCGUGCCAGCAGCCGCGGGAAUACGGAGGAUGCGAGCGUUAUCCGGAUUUAUGGGGUUUUAAGGGUGCGUAGCCGGAAUGCCAAGUCCGCGGUAAAAUCGAGGGGCUAAACCUGGCUCCGCCGUUGAAACUGGCGUUCUUGAGUGGGCGAGAAGCAUGCGGAAUGCGUGGUGUAGCGGUGAAAUGCAUAGAUAUCACGCAGAACCCCGAUUGCGAAGGCAGUAUGCCGGCUUCCGACUGACGGUGAAGCACGAAAGCGUGGGGAGCGAACAGGAUUAGAUACCCCUGUAGUC